AUGAAGUCUAGGGUUGAGGCAACAUCUGCGGGAGCCGGGCUUGACUCGGGUAACGAGACGGCGAAGGGUGGAGACGAGGAAGGAAGUAAGAUCAGGGAGGGGGAUGUGGAAGAUCAGAAGGAAGAGGAUGAAGUAGAUUGGGAUCAGUAUGGCCCGGACAAUGAUCUGGAGGAUGUGUUUGCAAACCUCAAGCUGCAAGGCGAGGAGGAGGAAGACCUAGAUCUGUCCGGUGAGUUUGAAGAGCUGAUUAAGGAUGUACGCUGGAUGGCGCUUUUUAGGGUUCACACCCUACGGCCGUUCAGCCAUGCUUCCCUGCUGAAUUCAAUGAGGAACGCGUGGGCUUGUGCACAAGGGAUAACUUCCAACAUCAAGGGCCCCAACUUGUUCUUGGCUCAAUGCCAUUGUUUGGGAGAUUGGAAGCGUGUGAUGGAAGGGGGUCCUUGGCAGUUCAGAAGAGACCCGGUGGUAUUGGUAGAGUAUGAUGGCUUUUCCGACGUGGAAGAAUAUGAUCUGAACAUGUAUCCUUUGUGG
rnacentral:rRNA from 1 species